rnacentral:lncRNA from 1 species
AGGCAUCAAAAAGAUGAACACGAAGCACUUAGCCCAUAUUUAUACAUUAGACAUCAAAGUCACAUACAUGUGAAAUCAUGCAUCAACACAACAUAUUAGCUAAUUUUUUUCCCCCUUGGCCGAAUAUGCAUGUCUAUUUUUGGGGUCGAUUUCAACACUUAAUACACACAUAUACACACUAGUAAAGCAUCCUCCCCCUUUCCAUCAAUUUAACACAUGCAUUGCUCAUUAACAUGCAAAGUU